rnacentral:rRNA from 1 species
GAUGAACGCUGGCGGCGUGCCUAAUACAUGCAAGUCGAACGAGGUCUUCGGACCUAGUGGCGAACGGGUGAGUAACACGUUGGUACCUACCCCGAAGUGGGGAAUAACUGCCCGAAAGGGUGGCUAAUACCGCAUAAUACCGCAAGGUUAAAGCAGUAAUGCGCUUCGGGAGGGGCCUGCGUCCCAUUAGCUAGUUGGUAGGGUAAUGGCCUACCAAGGCGACGAUGGGUAGCUGGAUCGAGAGGUUGACCAGCCACACUGGGACUGAGAUACGGCCCAGACUCCUACGGGAGGCAGCAGUAAGGAAUCUUCCACAAUGGACGAAAGUCUGAUGGAGCAACGCCGCGUGCAGGAUGACGGCCUUCGGGUUGUAAACUGCUUUUAUACGGGAAGAUUAUGACGGUACCGUAUGAAUAAGGACCAGCUAACUACGUGCCAGCAGCAGCCGCAG